rnacentral:rRNA from 1 species
GGAUUAUCCGCCUGGGAACUACGAGCUUCAGCUUAAAACCCAAAGGACUUGGCGGUGCUUAAGAUCCACCUAGAGGAGCCUGUUCUAGAACCGAUACCCCCCGUUCAACCUCACCCUCUCUUGUUUAUCCCGCCUAUAUACCGCCGUCGUCAGCCCACCCUGUGAGGGUCCAAUAGUGAGCAGGAUCGGUAGAGCCCAAAACGCCAGGUCGAGGUGUAGCGUAUGAGAGGGGAAGAAAUGGGCUACCAUUUCCUAAC